CCCUUAGAUGUUCUGGGCCGCACGCGCGCUACACUGAUGCAUUCAACGAGUCUAAAACCUGCUCUGAUAGGGGUGGGUAAUCUUUUGAAUGUGCAUCGUGAUUGGGAUAGAUGAUUGCAAUUUUUCAUCUUCAACGAGGAAUGCCUAGUAAACGCAAGUCAUCAGCUUGCACUGAUUACGUCCCUGCCCUUUGUACACACCGCCCGUCGCUCCUACCGAUUGAAUGAUCCGAUGAAUAUCAUGGAUUGAGGAUGCAAGUAGGUUCACCUAUCUUCAUCUUCGAGAAGUGAAGUAAAUCUUAUCAUUUAGAGGAAGGAGAAGUCGUAACA
rnacentral:rRNA from 1 species